UACAGAGGUGGCAAGCGUUGUUCGGAAUUACUGGGCGUAAAGGGCGCGUAGGCGGCUUGGUCAGUCCCGUGUGAAAUCCCUCGGCUCAACUGAGGAACUGCACGGGAAACUGCCUGGCUUGAGUUCGGGAGAGGGAAGCGGAAUUCCGGGUGUAGCGGUGAAAUGCGUAGAUAUCCGGAGGAACACCGGUGGCGAAGGCGGCUUCCUGGACCGACACUGACGCUGAGGCGCGAAAGCUAGGGGAGCAAGCGGG
rnacentral:rRNA from 1 species